rnacentral:rRNA from 1 species
CGAAACCGAUAGCGAACAAGUACCGUGAGGGAAAGUUGAAAAGUACUCUGAAUAGAGAGUUAAAUAGUACGUGAAACCGCUUAGGGGUUAAGCCCGAUGAACCCGAAUAUCUGAUGUGAGAAAUUCAAUACAAUUCAAAUUCAUAUUUUUAUAUUGGAUUUGUAUAUUGUAUGCACUUUUCUCAUAGUAAGACAUUGUAAUCCAUUGAUAUUAUAUCUCUAUCUCUGAGAUGAUUUAACAUACGGACAAAAUGUUUAUGAUUAUUCUAUCAGUGAUAUGUUUACAUGUCAUAUGAAUAAAAUCGUUUUGUUUCCUGUUUAAAUAGUCGAUGGAUUUUUCAUUGAAAUCAUGCUUGCAAUUUAUUUUGCGUUUCGUAUCAUUAAUUUUUAAUUUUUGAUAGCAGAAAUGGCAUGUAUUUGAUUAACAAUGCGAUAGAUUUGGGAUACUUUCAGGACCCGUCUUG